rnacentral:rRNA from 1 species
UACCGGCUCUCCGAGUUGUAGGGAUGAUUAUUGGGCUUAAAGCGUCCGUAGCUGGCUUAGCAAGUCUCCUGUUGAAUUCAGCGACCUAAUCGUUGAGCCGCGGGAGAUACUACUAGGCUAGGAGGCGGGAGAGGUCGACGGUACUUUCGGGGUAGGGGUGAAAUCCUAUAAUCCCGGGAGGACCACCAGUGGCGAAGGCUGUCGACUAGAACGCGCUCGACGGUGAGGGACGAAAGCUGGGGGAGCGAACCGGAUUAGAUACCCGGGUAGUCCCAGCUGUAAACUAUGCGGGCUAGGUGUUGGGGUGGCUACGGGCCACUUCAGUGCCGCAGGAAAGCCAUUAAGCCCGCCGCCUGGGGAGUACGGCCGCAAGGCUGAAACUUAAAGGAAUUGGCGGGGGAGCACCACAAGGCGUGAAGCUUGCGGUUU